GGAGGGUUGCCCGAGCGGCUAAUGGGGGCGGACUGUAAAUCCGCUGGCACUGCCUACGGGGGUUCGAAUCCCUCACCCUCCA
rnacentral:tRNA from 1 species